rnacentral:rRNA from 1 species
UACGUAGGGUGCGAGCGUUAAUCGGAAUUACUGGGCGUAAAGCGUGCGCAGGCGGUUUUGUAAGCCAGAUGUGAAAGCCCCGGGCUUAACCUGGGAAUGGCAUUUGGGACUGCAAGGCUGGAGUGUGGCAGAGGAGACUGGAAUUCCUGGUGUAGCAGUGAAAUGCGUAGAUAUCAGGAGGAACACCGGUGGCGAAGGCGGGUCUCUGGGCAGUAACUGACGCUGAGAAGCGAAAGCGUGGGGAGCGAACAGG